AACAAAUCAGAAGAGGAUGGA
rnacentral:siRNA from 1 species